GCACCUCCUUUUUAGAUAUCCAAAUUUACAUGAAAUGAAUCCUAUCCACAGUAAAAAAAACAAAAACAAAAACAAAACAAACAAAAUUCUCACACAGCGUUUUAUUGAAAAAAAAAAAAAAAAAGUUUCCUAUCAGAAAAUCCAUUUGAGCAGACACAUUUCAAUCACUGCUGCCUAUUCUUGAACACACAGAAAUGCAUGCAGGACCUUUAUAUUAAGUCCGGGCUUAAAUCUAGUUUUGCUUAGAAGAUUUGCUGUGAUUUAUCAUGUAAGUUCAGCACGGAUCAGGCUGAUGGGCACAAAUCUCUGUUUGUAUUGUGAUUAACCCAAGUUAAACCCUCAGCCCAUCAUUCCCCUUCUGUGGGCUCCCGAAGAGCAGCACUGCUGUAUCUCCGUGCUGCUGCUCCCUGCCAUUCAACGCACUUUUUCUUGCUAUGAACUAUUAGGGAACGAACGAUGCAUCACUUGAAAUGGAGACAUUACUGCUCUGGAGGUUUCCUGAUGCUAUUCAGGGCUCCACGUGGAAUUCCGGAUCCAUUCCCAUCACCGAGUGCUGCGCUGAAAAUGUCAGGCGCCGCACGUGCUCGCUCCACAGGGGUUUCUGUCAAUAUACACUUUCUGUUACCCAAUUUAGAUGCAGAACAUCGAAGUCUUGAGCGUUUGAUUCAAAAUUCAACAAAUAACGAGCACCAAGGGUGCAGUUCUACAUUGCCUUGAAAAAUAAAAUCUCCUUUGAGCUGUGAAAAACAAGGUACUCGGUGAUUUUACCUUGAGUUCUACACCUGAAAGAAGGCUUUGGAGAUUGAGCCAGUGAGUAAUCUUUUUAACUACCGGCAGCUGAGCUCUUUGAAAGCUCUCCCCAGGUUACCCCCAUGGUUUGUAAUCAGAUGUGCACAAUAAAUGUUAACGAGGGGGGGGGAUUAUGGGGGUUUGGCUAAGCAAUGCAAAGGUUUGUUUGCUCGUAGGGGUGAGAGGUCCAGAAACCCAGCAGAGCUCCCCCAAAGGAGUUCUCCAUCGUGCUUCCGUCAGUGUUUCCCUGCAGAAUCUCAGCUGUAAGCCUUAACUGCCUGCUUCCAUGAGCUAGCCCACUGGGUCCCGUGCUUCCAAAAACUAUGUGCAGCUCUCUGCCUUGAAGAUCAGAGUAGAUGAAAGAAGUGAAGAUUGCCACUAGGGAAUUGUUUGGACUGGGGAAUUGUUUGGUUUUCUGAGGGAUGGGUGCUGGGUGGACAAGGGGCUCUCUAUAGCUCUUCAUUUGGGUGCUUGUCCCAGCCAUAUGCUACCUACCUCUGUGAGUACAAAGCACAGAAAUAAAUACUUUGAGACAGCGUGAGCUUUGGCUUAUCCCUGACGGAUUUAUGAGGGUGCAGGAGAAGAUGGAAAGCCAAGUCUGAGCAGAAAGCGAGGGGAGCUGGGUGGCAGCAGCAUGGGUGCUGUGCCCAGACCCCACAUGGCCUGGAAGUGCUGGGUGUCCCUGCUGUGCUGCAUGGCUUCAUCCUGCCAAAGCCAGCCAGAGCUGGGUGUGCUCUGACCAGGGCUGAUUCUGAAGAGAAAUGCUUGCCAGCUGGAAGAGCUGAGGUCUAGAAAGCAGAGUGAGCAGCUCACUGGAGUCAAGGCCAUCUUCUAAAUGUUAACGGGCACAUUGCAGGAGAUGCUCAGCAGACACAAAAGGUCACUACUGCCCAGGCUUUCAGUAAAACAAAGGCCAGCUAUUUUUAACCUAAUUUCAAGUGGGAAGCCUAAAGCCAUAAGCUGGCCUGAUUGCAGAAAGCCUGGACUCGCCUGAUAAUCGGAGCUGUAUGCGUGAUGUGGGACUGUGACCACAUACACGUUCACAAGCUGCAUCCAAAAAUCCCUUCUGAACUCUGCUAAUGCAGUGAUGGUUGUGGGCAUGGUCUGACCUGCAGAGUUCUGCACUAAAAAGCAGCUCCUGAGUGUCCCCCCUGUAGGGGACAGGGAGUUUGGGAACUGAAGGUGGGAGCUACAGGCAUAACUUGCAUUACUUAAUAAUGCCCCCAGCUUCAGCUGCCCACUGCAAAUGAGUGAAAAAGCAAAAGAUUGUAUUGAUUGCCAAGAAAAUGGGACGUGCCAGAAAGGAUCUGAUUUUCUGUUUGGGUAACCCAGGACUCCUUGGACAUGUCCUAUAUGGAAAACAGCUUUGAAUCCAAAGGUGUCUUUAAAAAAUAUAUUUAAAAUAGAUCCAUAGAGAUCAUGUUAAUGUACCUGCUGGUUGGAGUGUAAGCAUUGCCAGGAGGAAGUCUGCACCUGCUUUGUAUGGCUUCCUUCACCCUGGAGUCCGAGCCAAGAGAAGCCACGUUCUGGUGCUGGACCACAACCUAAUGUUCUUUUCACUGCUGGUGUAGAAAGUGGGACUUUAUAUAGGAGUAUAGGUCUCUUAACACUUCUUCCUGGUGUAGAAGAGUUACCAUGACUUCUUGGUGGACUUCAUAAACUCUGCGGUCCCUGAACUAAGCUGCACCAGGCUUCAUGCAAGUUCAGCGUGCCGCCUCUCUGGUGUGACAAAGCUGUGUCAAGGAAAGGGAAAAAAGAGCAAGUUUGGGCCAACUGGCCUUAUUUCUCCUGAAAUGGGAUUUGUAGCAGGGCUUUUCUUGAAUUUAUGGAGCGUAUGUGGAAUACUUUUGACUUCUCAUCAGUCUGCCAGUGAAGGCCUAAUGCCCUUUUCCAUAGCAGUGACAGGCAUGGACUCUCAGCUGCAAUUCUGUGUGGUGAUGAAACUAGAUCACCGCCUGAUUACAGCACUCAGACCAGGAAUGGGAGGACUUGUGAGUAGAGGAGCCGCUUGUUCCAUCAAUGGUCACUGAGGGCUUGGUAAAGCAGGUGGCUUUGCUCCUGGAGCACCUGAGCACAUUGUUUCCCUUGGCAAACAAAGCUGAGCUGUGCCAUUGGGUGGCUGCCAAGCACAGCAUCGGGUCCCUGCCUGCAGCAGUGAUGGAGAGGCUUCGUGUCUAAAUUAAUAAAUGCAACACAGCCCGGGCCUGUUCUUGGCUGCCUUCUGACGAGCUCUGGUGGGACGCAGUCCUCAGCCUGACAGCCCCUCCUGCAGCCUGCAUCAGCUAGCAUUGCUGGCUGGUCCUGUGGUUCCCACUUCUCUGCUGCUCAUCUGCCUUUGGGCCAGUGCAGGGGGUGCUGUGGCUCAGCUCCAGAGUUACAUGCUGUGUUUUGGGGGAAGAUGCUGCUGUGGUGGCGAUUUUCAAUGAGCAGGCACACAGCGUGCACAGCCACUGCUAUUUCUAGAGGCUACGGUACUGCCGGACUUUGUUGUGCUCAAGAAGCACAAGCAUGGCUUUCUGCAGUUCCGUAAGAGCUUUGGAGCUGUAUGGCUUUAGAAAAAAACACACAGGUACCUCACUGGUGUGUGCUGCCCCUCUGGAUCUGAGGGGUGCCCCCAGACCUCCCAAACAUGCCUGGUGCUGCACUCACCAGCACUUGGCAUUAGUGCUUCAGGCCUCUGAGGACACCAGCGUGUCCUCAGGCUGUCAGUGCACUGAUAACACAAAUGUAUAUCCUUAUCUUAUUUGUAGGGCUCCUGUCCCCGUGCUAUGGGGUGCUGCAGAGGUCACUGAGCUCGUGCUUGCCCAGAAAUUCCCACUGAAAACCACCGAUAGAUCAGAAAUGUCAGUGCAGGGCUAGCUGUGGGGGCUCCCAAAGUGCAUCACAAGUAUGUUGUUACCUUCAUCUUUCUUCUUUCCAGGCACAAUUUUCCUUAAGGUAAAACUUGUACAGGAUGUCUCUCCUUAAAGCAAACAACAGGAGCUAUAUCUCAAGGGGUGCAGAUCAGCCUAACCCCAGCAGCAGAGCUGCUUUUUUCCCCCAAGCCUGCAAGAAGUGACAGGUCAAAUGCUUCUUCCUCCAGAUUUCCUAGGACCUGUGUAUGGCUGUACCCUCGAGUCACAAACUUCCUUGUUUUUUUUUCCCCCUGCCCAUCAUAAAGCACUACACCAGGUGUUUGUACUUAACCUCCCUCUGCUCUUCAGCAGAACCAUCUUGCAAAACAAAACCAAGCUGCAUUUCCACAGUGUCCCGUGAAGCAUCCUCACUGUGCCCUUCCCGGGGUUAAUCACUGAAGUUAAUGAUAAAAGUAGUGCAAAGCAGCAAGGGGAUAUGUGCCUGCCUCGGUUUCAAGGCUCUUGCAGGCUGCCUGCUCCAAAUCACAGAAGGGAGCUGAUGCCACUGGUGAGGAGCAAUGGUUAAAAAAGCCUUGGCUGCUUUCCAGAGAGCUGAAGUACUAAUUAGGGCCAUGGACAGUCAGCUAAUUCAGACCUUAAUGAGCCCCAAGGGACUGCAAGGUAACAAAAGCUCAGAUGGGUACACCACUGUGCAGCCUUGAAGCUGGGCUGUUUUAGUACUAAGAGCCUUGAUGAUAAAUGUGGCAUCGUGCGUGGAACGGGGAGGAGACUGGAAAAGGAGCUUGUGAGAUCUGGGUGAUGGAGACAGGUGCAGCCUUCUCUAAGGGCAGUUUUCGCCCCCAAAAAGCCAAAAGCACCCCAGCGAGACUGGAGGCCUCUGCAGUGGAAAACAAGAUGUGAAGUUGGGUUUUAGCCCUGGCGAUGCAAAGAGGGGUUAAACCUGCUCAAAGGUGGGACCCAAGUCAUCGUCUUGUUUUGAGGAUGUUGGGCUGGAUCUUAAAUUUCUUGGUUUUCUUUUGAAGAGCCGUGGUGCCUUUCCUUUGCUUUGUUUCCUAGGAAAGCCCUUUUUGUGUGGGCAUGGCCAACAUGUAGUGUAGGAUGCUUCCUUGCUGCCAGGACCCAAGUCAGAUGUAAGGCAAAAAAGAAAAGCGAAAAUCCUUACAGCUGUCCUUGCAACCUGCUCCCAGCGAACCCUGCGUACACCUCAAUCACCCUCAGUGAGCUUUGCCUAAUGUGCCGUGGUCCCUCUGGGGUUAUGUGUGGCUCUUUCCACCAGCGCCUUCCUCACGUGGGUUUUUGCUCUUUCGAAGCAUAACCACACGACUGGGAGCACAAACCAUGAGAUUUCCUUGUUGGGAGCAUCCUGGCAAAUGUGGGGUUGGCGGUGUGCUCCUGCCAGCCCGCUCAGACAAAGCAAAUAUUCCUGCCUCUGUCUGUG